GUGUGCAGCGACAAAGAGACUACACCUAACACCGAGAGGUGCGGGAUGUGUGAGUUACUGUUGGUCGCUCCCAUGACCGACACGGUGGCUUAUUACAUCGGAGUGGCCCGACGGCGCCUGGGGGAACGUGUGCAGCAGCACAGGUGCGGCGUGCGUGACAGCAGGGAUAGUGCUGCUCUGGCGCGGGCGGCCUGUUCGGGGGACUGGUCGGUGGUGUGGGACAGCGCGGGAGUCGUGGACUCGCUGCGUGCUGGCGAGUUGGGGUCCGGCUUUCGGGAGGUGUGGAGCAUUUGCCUCCGUAGCGGAAGUGGUGGCCUAAUCAGCUCUAG
rnacentral:lncRNA from 1 species